rnacentral:rRNA from 1 species
UACGUAGGGUGCAAGCGUUGUCCGGAAUUAUUGGGCGUAAAGAGCUCGUAGGCGGCCCUGUAAGUCCGCUGUGAAAGUCAAGGGCUCAACCCUUGGAUGCCGGUGGAUACUGCAGGGCUAGAGUCCGGAAGAGGCGAGUGGAAUUCCUGGUGUAGCGGUGAAAUGCGCAGAUAUCAGGAGGAACACCGAUGGCGAAGGCAGCUCGCUGGGACGGUACUGACGCUGAGGCGCGAAAGCGUGGGGAGCAAACAGG